AAAGUAAAAUGUCCUAUCGCAUUUCUUGAACAAAAAAAAAUGAGGAAAGUCCGGACACCGUAGAGCAGCACAAUGGGUAACUCCCAUCCAUCGUAAGAUGAGGAAUAGUGCAACAGAAAGAAUGUACAGAUAAUAACAUUGCUGUAGUGAAAUCAUGUAAACUCUGUGUGGUGAAAUGCCAUGUAUACCGGAAAACUAGCUCGGUUGAAACCGGGGGGUAGGCAGAUUGAGAUCAUGGGUAACCUAGAUCCUAGAUAAAUGAUAGGUAUAAAAACAGAAUCCGGCUUACGAUUUUACUUUUCAU
rnacentral:RNase_P_RNA from 1 species